UUCCUUUGUAAGCUGGAUUUCUUUUCAUUGGCCUCUUCCAUUCACCACAACCAGGUGCUGUCUCACACUUUGGGUUAUCAAUCUUUGGUGCCUCCCAUUCACCAUCCUCCUCAUCAUCCCAAUCUUCAGGUUUUGCAGCAUCAGGAUCAUCAAUUUCCUCAGGCUCAUCAUCUAACCAUCCUUCAGGUUUCUCAGCAUCCUCAUCUACAAUUUCCAUAGGUGCAUCCUCGUCCCAAUCAUCUGGCUUCACUGCAUUAGGAUCAGGAAUUUUGGCUCGCUCAUCCCAGUCUUCAGGCUUCUUAUCAUCCGGAUCAGGAAUUGUCUUGGCAGGAACUAAAGGAGGCUCGAAAUCAUCAGAUGAGAGAAAAUUUGCCUUCUUCUUCUCUUCUCCAUCAACCAAAAUUCGCAGCUCAUUGUC
rnacentral:lncRNA from 1 species